rnacentral:rRNA from 1 species
GACCGAGGGUGCAAACGUUGUUCGGAAUUACUGGGCGUAAAGCGCGUGUAGGCAGUUUCGCAAGUCGGGUGUGAAAGCCCUGGGCUCAACCUAGGAAGUGCACUCGAAACUGCGAGACUUGAGUCCUGGAGAGGAAGGCGGAAUUCUCGGUGUAGAGGUGAAAUUCGUAGAUAUCGAGAGGAACACCGGUGGCGAAGGCGGCCUUCUGGACAGUGACUGACGCUGAGACGCGAAAGCGUGGGGAGCAAACAGG